rnacentral:rRNA from 1 species
GGUUAAGCGACUAAGCGUACACGGUGGAUGCCCUGGCAGUCAGAGGCGAUGAAGGGCGUGCUAAUCUGCGAUAAGCGCCGGUAAGGUGAUAUGAACCGUUAUAACCGGCGAUACCCGAAUGGGGAAACCCAGUGUGACUCGUCACACUAUCAUUAACUGAAUCCAUAGGUUAAUGAGGCGAACCGGGGGAACUGAAACAUCUAAGUACCCCGAGGAAAAGAAAUCAACCGAGAUUCCCCCAGUAGCGGCGAGCGAACGGGGAGGAGCCCAGAGCCUGAAUCAGCAUGUGUGUUAGUGGAAGCGUCUGGAAAGGCGCGCGAUACAGGGUGACAGCCCCGUACACAAAAGCGCAUGUGCUGUGAGCUCGAUGAGUAGGGCGGGACACGUGGUAUCCUGUCUGAAUAUGGGGGGACCAUCCUCCAAGGCUAAAUACUCCUGACUGACCGAUAGUGAACCAGUACCGUGAGGGAAAGGCGAAAAGAACCCCGGCGAGGGGAGUGAAAAAGAACCUGAAACCGUGUACGUACAAGCAGUGGGAGCCCCACCACCAAAGCAUUUGCUGUACCGCGUUGACGGAGCGAAGCGACGUCAAACCGAUAAAACAGCAGUGUAAAGUGAGCCGCAGGGCGCUUUGCGCGACAGCGCAAAGGCAGGCGGUUUCGCGUAGCGAAAGCGAAUGCUUUGGGGUGGGGUGACUGCGUACCUUUUGUAUAAUGGGUCAGCGACUUAUAUUCUGUAGCAAGGUUAACCGAAUAGGGGAGCCGGAGGGAAACCGAGUCUUAAUUGGGCGUUAAGUUGCAGGGUAUAGACCCGAAACCCGGUGAUCUAGCCAUGGGCAGGUUGAAGGUUGGGUAACACUAACUGGAGGACCGAACCGACUAAUGUUGAAAAAUUAGCGGAUGACCUGUGGCUGGGGGUGAAAGGCCAAUCAAACCGGGAGAUAGCUGGUUCUCCCCGAAAGCUAUUUAGGUAGCGCCUCGUGAAUUCAUCUCCGGGGGUAGAGCACUGUUUCGGCUAGGGGGCCAUCCCGGCUUACCAACCCGAUGCAAACUGCGAAUACCGGAGAAUGUUAUCACGGGAGACACACGGCGGGUGCUAACGUCCGUCGUGAAGAGGGAAACAACCCAGACCGCCAGCUAAGGUCCCAAAGUCAUGGUUAAGUGGGAAACGAUGUGGGAAGGCCCAGACAGCCAGGAUGUUGGCUUAGAAGCAGCCAUCAUUUAAAGAAAGCGUAAUAGCUCACUGGUCGAGUCGGCCUGCGCGGAAGAUGUAACGGGGCUAAACCAUGCACCGAAGCUGCGGCAGCGACACUGUGUGUUGUUGGGUAGGGGAGCGUUCUGUAAGCCUGUGAAGGUGUGUCGUGAGGCAUGCUGGAGGUAUCAGAAGUGCGAAUGCUGACAUAAGUAACGAUAAAGCGGGUGAAAAGCCCGCUCGCCGGAAGACCAAGGGUUCCUGUCCAACGUUAAUCGGGGCAGGGUGAGUCGACCCCUAAGGCGAGGCCGAAAGGCGUAGUCGAUGGGAAACGGGUUAAUAUUCCCGUACUUGGUGUUACUGCGAAGGGGGGACGGAGAAGGCUAUGUUGGCCGGGCGACGGUUGUCCCGGUUUAAGCGUGUAGGUGUGUGUUCCAGGUAAAUCCGGUUCACUUUAACACUGAGGCGUGACGACGAGGCACUACGGUGCUGAAGCAACAAAUGCCCUGCUUCCAGGAAAAGCCUCUAAGCAUCAGGUAACAUCAAAUCGUACCCCAAACCGACACAGGUGGUCAGGUAGAGAAUACCAAGGCGCUUGAGAGAACUCGGGUGAAGGAACUAGGCAAAAUGGUGCCGUAACUUCGGGAGAAGGCACGCUGACACGUAGGUGAAGUGAUUUACUCAUGGAGCUGAAGUCAGUCGAAGAUACCAGCUGGCUGCAACUGUUUAUUAAAAACACAGCACUGUGCAAACACGAAAGUGGACGUAUACGGUGUGACGCCUGCCCGGUGCCGGAAGGUUAAUUGAUGGGGUCAGCGCAAGCGAAGCUCCUGAUCGAAGCCCCGGUAAACGGCGGCCGUAACUAUAACGGUCCUAAGGUAGCGAAAUUCCUUGUCGGGUAAGUUCCGACCUGCACGAAUGGCGUAAUGAUGGCCAGGCUGUCUCCACCCGAGACUCAGUGAAAUUGAACUCGCUGUGAAGAUGCAGUGUACCCGCGGCAAGACGGAAAGACCCCGUGAACCUUUACUAUAGCUUGACACUGAACAUUGAGCCUUGAUGUGUAGGAUAGGUGGGAGGCUUUGAAGUGUGGACGCCAGUCUGCAUGGAGCCGACCUUGAAAUACCACCCUUUAAUGUUUGAUGUUCUAACGUGGACCCGUUACCCGGGUUGCGGACAGUGUCUGGUGGGUAGUUUGACUGGGGCGGUCUCCUCCUAAAGAGUAACGGAGGAGCACGAAGGUUGGCUAAUCCUGGUCGGACAUCAGGAGGUUAGUGCAAUGGCAUAAGCCAGCUUGACUGCGAGCGUGACGGCGCGAGCAGGUGCGAAAGCAGGUCAUAGUGAUCCGGUGGUUCUGAAUGGAAGGGCCAUCGCUCAACGGAUAAAAGGUACUCCGGGGAUAACAGGCUGAUACCGCCCAAGAGUUCAUAUCGACGGCGGUGUUUGGCACCUCGAUGUCGGCUCAUCACAUCCUGGGGCUGAAGUAGGUCCCAAGGGUAUGGCUGUUCGCCAUUUAAAGUGGUACGCGAGCUGGGUUUAGAACGUCGUGAGACAGUUCGGUCCCUAUCUGCCGUGGGCGCUGGAGAACUGAGGGGGGCUGCUCCUAGUACGAGAGGACCGGAGUGGACGCAUCACUGGUGUUCGGGUUGUCAUGCCAAUGGCACUGCCCGGUAGCUAAAUGCGGAAGAGAUAAGUGCUGAAAGCAUCUAAGCACGAAACUUGCCCCGAGAUGAGUUCUCCCUGAGACUUAGAGUCUCCUGAAGGAACGUUGAAGACGACGACGUUGAUAGGCCGGGUGUGUAAGCGCAGCGAUGCGUUGAGCUAACCGGUACUAAUGAACCGUGAGGCUUAACCUUACAACGCCGAAGAUGUUUUG